AUAAGCGCCGGUAAGGUGAUAUGAACCGUUAUAACCGGCGAUACCCGAAUGGGGAAACCCAGUGUGAUUCGUCACACUAUCAUUAACUGAAUCCAUAGGUUAAUGAGGCGAACCGGGGGAACUGAAACAUCUAAGUACCCCGAGGAAAAGAAAUCAACCGAGAUUCCCCCAGUAGCGGCGAGCGAACGGGGAGGAGCCCAGAGCCUGAAUCAGCAUGUGUGUUAGUGGAAGCGUCUGGAAAGGCGCGCGAUACAGGGUGACAGCCCCGUACACAAAAGCGCAUGUGCUGUGAGCUCGAUGAGUAGGGCGGGACACGUGGUAUCCUGUCUGAAUAUGGGGGGACCAUCCUCCAAGGCUAAAUACUCCUGACUGACCGAUAGUGAACCAGUACCGUGAGGGAAAGGCGAAAAGAACCCCGGCGAGGGGAGUGAAAAAGAACCUGAAACCGUGUACGUACAAGCAGUGGGAGCACCCUUUGGGUGUGACUGCGUACCUUUUGUAUAAUGGGUCAGCGACUUAUAUUCUGUAGCAAGGUUAACCGAAUAGGGGAGCCGGAGGGAAACCGAGUCUUAACCGGGCGUUAAGUUGCAGGGUAUAGACCCGAAACCCGGUGAUCUAGCCAUGGGCAGGUUGAAGGUUGGGUAACACUAACUGGAGGACCGAACCGACUAAUGUUGAAAAAUUAGCGGAUGACCUGUGGCUGGGGGUGAAAGGCCAAUCAAACCGGGAGAUAGCUGGUUCUCCCCGAAAGCUAUUUAGGUAGCGCCUCGUGAAUUCAUCUCCGGGGGUAGAGCACUGUUUCGGCUAGGGGGCCAUCCCGGCUUACCAACCCGAUGCAAACUGCGAAUACCGGAGAAUGUUAUCACGGGAGACACACGGCGGGUGCUAACGUCCGUCGUGAAGAGGGAAACAACCCAGACCGCCAGCUAAGGUCCCAAAGUCAUGGUUAAGUGGGAAACGAUGUGGGAAGGCCCAGACAGCCAGGAUGUUGGCUUAGAAGCAGCCAUCAUUUAAAGAAAGCGUAAUAGCUCACUGGUCGAGUCGGCCUGCGCGGAAGAUGUAACGGGGCUAAACCAUGCACCGAAGCUGCGGCAGCGACACUGUGUGUUGUUGGGUAGGGGAGCGUUCUGUAAGCCUG
rnacentral:rRNA from 1 species